CCUACGGGUGGCUGCAGUGGGGAAUAUUGGACAAUGGGCGCAAGCCUGAUCCAGCAAUGCCGCGUGUGUGAAGAAGGCCUGAGGGUUGUAAAGCACUUUCAGCGGGGAGAAAGAGGCUGUUGCUAAUAUCAACGGCGGAUGAUGUUACCCGCAGAAGAAGCACCGGCUAACUCUGUGCCAGCAGCCGCGGUAAUACAGAGGGUGCAAGCGUUAAUCGGAAUUACUGGGCGUAAAGGGUGCGUAGGUGGUUAUGUAAGUUAGAUGUGAAAUACCUG
rnacentral:rRNA from 1 species